ACGAACCGUACGAACGUUAUUCGGAAUCACUGGGCUUAAAGAGUUCGUAGGCGGCCGUGUAGGUGAGAUGUGAAAUCCCUCGUCUCAACCGAGGAAUUGCGUUUCAAACCACAUGGCUUGAGGAAGAUAGAGGUGAGCGGAACUGAUGGUGGAGCGGUGAAAUGCGUUGAUAUCAUCAGGAACACCAGAGGCGAAGGCGGCUCACUGGGUCUUUUCUGACGCUGAGGAACGAAAGCUAGGGGAGCAAACGGG
rnacentral:rRNA from 1 species